GACGAACGCUGGCGGUGUGCUUAACACAUGCAAGUCGAACGGUAAGGCCCUUUCGGGGGUACACGAGUGGCGAACGGGGGAGUAACACGUGAGUAACCUGCCCUCAUCUCUGGGAUAACAGUCGGAAACGGUUGCUAAUACUGGAUAUGAGCUUGCAAGGCAUCUUGUGGGUUGGAAAGAUUUUUUUUGGUUGGGGAUGGACUCGCGGCCUAUCAGCUUGUUGGUGAGGUAGUGGCUCACCAAGGCUUCGACGGGUAGCCGGCCUGAGAGGGCGCCCGGCCACAUUGGGACUGAGAUACGGCCCAAACUCCUACGGGAGGCAGCAGUGGGGAAUAUUGCACAAUGGACGGAAGUCUGAUGCAGCAACGCCGCGUGCGGGAUGACGGCCUUCGGGUUGUAAACCGCUUUCAAUUGUGACGAAGCUUUUUUGUGACGGUAGCAGUAGAAGAAGCACCGGCUAACUACGUG
rnacentral:rRNA from 1 species